GCCCUUGUGGCUUAAUGGCAGAGCGUUUGACUUGUAAUUAGAGGGCGAAAGCUCGACUCUUUCUUAAGAGCG
rnacentral:tRNA from 1 species